GCAAUAUACCGUGUAUUGAAAAGUACGUAGUGACUCACCUCUCCGAAAAACUGCAUUAUGCAGCACUGUGAAGCAACGAUUUUAGAAGCAGUAACUUUUGGCCUAUAUCGAUAAAAAUGUUGGAGAGGUUGCUUAUUUGCGGUUAUGGCUUACUUUUUAUCAUUGCUUCUCUGAAUUCAGUUGGCUCACUGUGCGCUGGUAUGCGAUGUCCACAGCAAUACAUGCUUAGCUGCAUGCUUCAAUGCGGCAUACAAACGAGGCGUUGUGUUCCUAGAAGACAACGCUGCCGUGAUGCGUGGAUAACGCUGUGCCCUAAGCCUUCGUAUAAACUGUCGUGCAAUAGAACUCGAACGCCUACAACAUGUGACUGUCAAUGUACCCGCGCUUCCUGUCAUUGAAGCAGACCUUCAAUCAUUCAGGUA